rnacentral:rRNA from 1 species
UACGUAGGGUGCGAGCGUUGUCCGGAAUUAUUGGGCGUAAAGAGCUUGUAGGCGGUUUGUCGCGUCUGCUGUGAAAAUCCGGGGCUCAACCCCGGACUUGCAGUGGGUACGGGCAGACUAGAGUGUGGUAGGGGAGACUGGAAUUCCUGGUGUAGCGGUGAAAUGCGCAGAUAUCGGGAAGGACACCCGUGGCGAAGGCGGCUCUCUGGGACGGUACUGACGCUGAGACGCGAAAAGCGUGGGGAGCGAACAGG